GCGGAUGAACACAGAUCGAUGACGUGUCUCCUGUAUAAAUGAUCCUGUCCCCCCUGGCAACUGCAUUCAGAGGGACUGUUGUGAAGGGAGAGCGGCUGGAGACACUGAUCGUGACUGUGCAAACAUGCAGAUCUUCGUGAAGACCCUCACUGGCAAGACCAUCACCCUCGAGGUUGAGCCCAGUGACACCAUUGAAAAUGUCAAGGCUAAGAUCCAGGACAAGGAAGGCAUUC